UACAGAGGGGACAAGCGUUAUUCGGAAUUAUUGGGCGUAAAGGGCGCGUAGGCGGCGAUUCAAGUGACGGGUGAAAUCCCUCGGCUUAACCGAGGAACUGCCUGUCAGACUGGGUUGCUUGAGACCGGGAGAGGCGAGUGGAAUUCCCAGUGUAGCGGUGAAAUGCGUAGAUAUUGGGAGGAACACCAGUGGCGAAGGCGGCUCGCUGGACCGGAACUGACGCUGAGGCGCGAAAGCGUGGGGAGCAAACAGG
rnacentral:rRNA from 1 species